CAAUUUAAAGCUUAUUGAGUAAAGUAUUUCAUUUACAUUGAAGUGAUAGUUGUGCAAAUCAACUUAAAUUGA
rnacentral:tRNA from 1 species